UACGUAGGGUCCGAGCGUUGUCCGGAAUUAUUGGGCGUAAAGGGCUCGUAGGCGGUUCGUCACGUCGGGAGUGAAAACUCGGAGCUUAACUCCGAGCCUGCUUCCGAUACGGGCAGACUAGAGGUAGGCAGGGGAGAGCGGAACUCCUGGUGUAGCGGUGGAAUGCGCAGAUAUCGGGAAGAACACCCGUGGCUAAGGCGGCUCUCUAGUACGGUACUGACGCUGAGACGCGAAAGCGUGGGGAGCGAACAGG
rnacentral:rRNA from 1 species